rnacentral:rRNA from 1 species
CCUACGGGAGGCAGCAGUGGGGAAUAUUGGACAAUGGAGGCAACUCUGAUCCAGCGACGCCGCGUGAGUGAUGAAGUUCUUCGGAAUGUAAAGCUCUUUAAGCGGGGACGAAGGAAGUGACGGUACCCGCCGAAUAAGCCUCGGCUAACUACGUGCCAGCAGCCGCGGUAAUACGUAGGAGGCAAGCGUUAUCCGGAAUGACUGGGCGUAAAGGGUGCGUAGGUGGUUUGGCAAGUUUGUAGCGAAAGGCCGGGGCCCAACCUCGGGGCUACUACCGAAACUGUUGAACUUGAGUGCAGGAGGGGUGAAGGGAAUUCCUGGUGUAGCGGUGGAAUGCGUAGAUAUUGGGAAGAACACCAGCGGCGAAGGCGAUUCACUGGACUGUAACUGACGCUGAGGCACGAAAGCGUGGGGAGCAAACAGGAUUAGAUACCCGUGUAGUC